UACAGAGGGUGCAAGCGUUGUUCGGAAUCAUUGGGCGUAAAGCGCACGUAGGCGGCUUUGCAAGUCGGGUGUGAAAGCCUGGGGCUCAACCCCAGAAGUGCAUUCGAAACUGCAGAGCUUGAGUGUCGGAGAGGGUGGUGGAAUUCCGAGUGUAGAGGUGAAAUUCGUAGAUAUUCGGAGGAACACCAGUGGCGAAGGCGACCACCUGGACGAACACUGACGCUGAGGUGCGAAAGCGUGGGGAGCAAAC
rnacentral:rRNA from 1 species